GACGUAGGGCGCGAGCGUUGUCCGGAUUUAUUGGGCGUAAAGAGCUCGUAGGCGGUUUGUCGCGUCUGCUGUGAAAACGCGAGGCUCAACCUCGCGCCUGCAGUGGGGUACGGGGCAGACUAGAGUGCGGUAGGGGAGAUUGGAAUUCCUGGUGUAGCGGUGGAAUGCGCAGAUAUCAGGAGGAACACCGAUGGCGAAGGCAGAUCUCUGGGGCCGUAACUGGACGCUGAGGUGCGAAAGCGUGGGGAGCAAACAGG
rnacentral:rRNA from 1 species